AAGGAUUUAAGUUAAAUAAACUAUUAACCUUCAAAGUUAAAAAUAGAUUUAAAAUUUAAACCUUA
rnacentral:tRNA from 1 species